AUUCAUCAUAAGUCAAUCCGACUCUUGCAUAUACAUAAAUCAUGUAAUUUACAUAAACAUGGUUUCCAAUGCAUAAAAUAAAUAAAUUUAUAAAUCAUGUUAACUUUAUAGAUAAAGUCACAAAUCAUAUGUCAAUUUGUCAUAUCAUAAUUCUUAAUAAUCUUCUCAGACCAAAUGCUAAGGUCAUUAUUAUAUCCGUGACAGGACCGUAACCGACAAGUACCAACUACGAUUAUCCAUUGAUAGAGUCAUGUACCAACUACUAUUAUCUGCUGGCAGGGUUAUAUGCCAACUACUAUUAUCUGUUGGCAAGAUCGUAUGUCAAAAAUUGUUAUCCGCUGGCAGGGUUGUAUGGAUGCUAGAUUUGGAUGUCAAUCUUCUCCACUUUUUGGGAUCAUACAUAGUUAUCUGAG
rnacentral:lncRNA from 1 species